GUUUCCAUAGUGUAGUGAUUAUCACGUUCACCUAACACAUGAAAAGCUCCUGGUUCGAAACCAUGUGAAAACA
rnacentral:tRNA from 1 species